GAUGAACGCUAGCUACAGGCUUAACACAUGCAAGUCGAGGGGCAGCAGGGAUUUAGCUUGCUAAAUCCGCUGGCGACCGGCGCACGGGUGCGUAACGCGUAUCCAACUUUCCCGUUACUCUUGGAUAGCCUUCCGAAAGGGAGAUUAAUACAAGAUGGCAUCAGAAUUUCGCAUGUUAUUCUGAUUAAAGAUUUAUCGGUAACGGAUAGGGAUGCGUGACAUUAGAUAGUAGGCGGGGUAACGGCCCACCUAGUCUACGAUGUCUAGGGGUUCUGAGAGGAAGGUCCCCCACACUGGAACUGAGACACGGUCCAGACUCCUACGGGAGGCAGCAGUGAGGAAUAUUGGUCAAUGGUCGGAAGACUGAACCAGCCAAGUAGCGUGAAGGAUGAAGGUUCUAUGGAUUGUAAACUUCUUUUAUAUAGGAAUAAAACCUCCCACGUGUGGGAGCUUGUAUGUACUAUAUGAAUAAGCAUCGGCUAACUCCGUGCCAGCCGCCGCAGUAACAC
rnacentral:rRNA from 1 species